rnacentral:rRNA from 1 species
AUCACUAGACAGAGGAUCAUUUGUCUCAUGUGGCGAUGAUGACCGCCGCAAAAAGCGCGUCGCCAUGUGAUCAACAGCAGACAAGAUGAUUGACAUGUUGUACACAUAUUGCUCCUCAUAUAU